AACGCAUCUUGCGCCCUUUGGUAUUCCUGGGGGCAUGCCUGUUUGAGUGUCAUUUUACAUUCUCGAUGAACAUUUUUUUUUUGGAUCUUCUAAAAGAAUUAUUUCAUCGGAUGAUGAAGGUUGCUGAAACCCCUCAGCUCCUUUGAAAUGCAUGAGCAGAAAAACGAGGUUGGUCAGCUUCGGUUUGAUAUGUUUCUGGACCGUUGCUGAUGGGUCGUCCCUUCUGCUGCCCCUGUCUCGUCGAGAGACUGUCUGCGCUUGUGCGGGCACAUUUUCAACUAUGACCUCAAAUCAGGUAGGAUUACCCGCUGAACUUAA
rnacentral:misc_RNA from 1 species